rnacentral:rRNA from 1 species
CCUACGGGAGGCAGCAGUGGGGAAUAUUGGACAAUGGAGGGGACUCUGAUGCAGCGACGCCGCGUGAGUGAAGAAGGAAUUAGGGAUGGAAAGCUCUAUCAACAGGGGAGUAAGAGACUGUACCUGAGGGAUAAUCUACGGCUAAAUACGUGCCAGCAGCCGCGGUAAUACGUAUGGAGCAAGCGUUAUCCGGAUUUACUGGGUGUAAAGGGAGAGUAGGUGGCAGAGCAAGUCCGAAGUGAAAACUCAAAGCUCAACUAUGGAAUUGCUUUAGAAACUGCCAAGCUAGAGUGCAGGAGAGGUAAGUGGAAUUCUUAGUGUAGCGGUGAAAUGCGUAGAUAUUAGGAGGAACACCAGUUGCGAAGGCGGUCUGCUGGGCUUUUACUGACGCUGAGGCUCGAAAGCGUGGGUAGCAAACAGGAUUAGAUACCCUUGUAGUC